AGUGAACGCUGGCGGUAGGCCUAACACAUGCAAGUCGAACGGCAGCACAGUAAGAGCUUGCUCUUACGGGUGGCGAGUGGCGGACGGGUGAGGAAUACAUCGGAAUCUACUUUUUCGUGGGGGAUAACGUAGGGAAACUUACGCUAAUACCGCAUACGACCUACGGGUGAAAGCAGGGGAUCUUCGGACCUUGCGCGAUUGAAUGAGCCGAUGUCGGAUUAGCUAGUUGGCGGGGUAAAGGCCCACCAAGGCGACGAUCCGUAGCUGGUCUGAGAGGAUGAUCGGCCACACUGGAACUGUGACACGCUCCAGACUCCUACGGGAGGCAGCAGUGGGGAAUAUUGGGCAAUGGGCGCAAGCCUGAUCCAGCCAUACCGCGUGGGUGAAGAAGGCCUUCGGGUUGUAAAGCCCUUUUGUUGGGAAAGAAAAGCAGCAGGUUAAUACCCCGCUGUUCUGACGGUACCCAAAGAAUAAGCACCGGCUAACUUCGUG
rnacentral:rRNA from 1 species